rnacentral:rRNA from 1 species
GGGCUAAACCAUGCACCGAAGCUGCGGCAGCGACACUAUGUGUUGUUGGGUAGGGGAGCGUUCUGUAAGCCUGCGAAGGUGUGCUGUGAGGCAUGCUGGAGGUAUCAGAAGUGCGAAUGCUGACAUAAGUAACGAUAAAGCGGGUGAAAAGCCCGCUCGCCGGAAGACCAAGGGUUCCUGUCCAACGUUAAUCGGGGCAGGGUGAGUCGACCCCUAAGGCGAGGCCGAAAGGCGUAGUCGAUGGGAAACAGGUUAAUAUUCCUGUACUUGGUGUUACUGCGAAGGGGGGACGGAGAAGGCUAUGUUAGCCGGGCGACGGUUGUCCCGGUUUAAGCAUGUAGGCUGGUUAUCCAGGCAAA